GCGCAGCAGGCGAGAAUCCUUCGCAAUGCAGGAAACUGCGACGAGGGAACUCCAAGUGCCUACGCUCAGCGUAGGCUGUUCUCAAGCCUAGAAAGCUUGAGGAGUAAGGGCUGGGUAAGACGGAUGCCAUCUGUGGUAGCAGUCAAUAGAUUCGAUUUGUUACUGCAAGGCAUAAGCCGCCGCGGUAAUACCCGCAGCCCAAGUGGUGGCCGCUUUUAUGGGCCUAAAGCGUCCGUAGCCGGCCCGGUAAAUGCCUGGGUAAAUCGUGGAGCCCAACUUCACGAAUUCCGGGUAGACUGCCGAGCUCGGGACCGGAAGAGGGAGAGGGUACUUCGAGGGGUAGGGGUGAAAAUUUCCUUUCCGAUUAACGCUUUUGCGCGAAGCGGAAAGGUUAUCACAAUCCUGUAAUCCCUGGAGGACCACCCGU
rnacentral:rRNA from 1 species